rnacentral:rRNA from 1 species
UUAUACGGCGAAACUGCGAAUGGCUCAUUAUAUAAGUUAUCGUUUAUUUGAUAGUGCCUUACUACUUGGAUAACCGUGGUAAUUCUAGAGCUAAUACAUGCUAAAACCCCGACUUCGGAAGGGGUGUAUUUAUUAGAUACAAAACCAAUGCCCUUCGGGGCUCUUUGGUGAUUCAUGAUAACUAUACGAAUCGCACGGCCUUGCGCCGGCGAUGGUUCAUUCAAAUUUCUUCCCUAUCAACUUUCGAUGUUUGGGUAUUGGCCAAACAUGGUUGCAACGGGUAACGGAGGGUUAGGGCUCGACCCCGGAGAAGGAGCCUGAGAAACGGCUACUACAUCCAAGGAAGGCAGCAGGCGCGCAAAUUACCCAAUCCCGACUCGGGGAGGUAGUGACAAUAAAUACUGAUACAGGGCCCUUUCGGGCCUUGUAAUUGGAAUGAGUACAAUUUAAAUCCCUUAACGAGGAACAAUUGGAGGGCAAGUCUGGUGCCAGCAGCCGCGGUAAUUCCAGCUCCAAUAGCGUAUAU